AAACCAGGCAGAGCUGGGAAAAUAUUUCCUCACCCAGCUCCUCAGCUCUGUCGUCUGAGGAGAGCAUCUGACCCAGAUGCCCUUCAACACGCGGGCUUUGGGCACCUCCCACGUGUCAGGCGCUGAGGUAGGUGCCGCAGACAGAAGGCAGACAGAGUCCACGGCCUGCCUCCUCCAGUCCUCUUCCUCCUCUCCAGAUGGUGCUCCACCCGAUCCAUCAGGCCGGCUGACCGCUGCCCCGCCGAGGCGAGGGGGC
rnacentral:lncRNA from 1 species